CGUCGCUGUUGCUUGAAACCGAGCAAACAGACCGAGGCAAAGUGCCUUGGACCGAAGUAAUAAAAACGUGCUGGCCAACCAUCGAACGGGCGCCAGCCCAACAAGAAAAUUCGGAUGUACGCGCAUCUCAGGUUGAGAUGUGUUCACCC
rnacentral:sRNA from 1 species